GACGAACGCUGGCGGCGUGCUUAACACAUGCAAGUCGAACGGAAAGGCCCUGCUUUUGUGGGGUGCUCGAGUGGGGAACGGGUGAGUAACACGUGAGUAACCUGCCCUUGACUUUGGGAUAACUUCAGGAAACUGGGGCUAAUACCGGAUAGGAGCUCCUGCUGCAUGGUGGGGGUUGGAAAGUUUCGGCGGUUGGGGAUGGACUCGCGGCUUAUCAGCUUGUUGGUGGGGUAGUGGCUUACCAAGGCUUUGACGGGUAGCCGGCCUGAGAGGGUGACCGGCCACAUUGGGACUGAGAUACGGCGCAGACUGCUACGGGAGGCAGAAGUGGGGAAUAUUGCACAAUGGGCGGAAGCCUGAUGCAGCGACGCCGCGUGCGGGAUGACGGCCUGCGGGUUGUAAAACGCUGUCGCCUGUGACGAAGCGUGAGUGACGGUAAUGGGUAAAGAAGCACCGGCUAACUACGUG
rnacentral:rRNA from 1 species